rnacentral:rRNA from 1 species
GACGAACGUUGGCGGCGUGCUUAAUACAUGCAAGUCAACUGAAGCAGUGGUAGUAAUACUACUGUGGAGGUGGCGCACGGGUGAGUAACGCGUAGGUAAUCUGCCUUUGGGUCUGACAUAACUCCGAGAAAUCGAAGCUAAUAUCAGAUGAUGCAGCGGCUUGACAUCAAGACAGUUGUUAAAGCUUCGGCGCCCAGAGAUGAGCCUGCGUCCCAUUAGGUAGUUGGCGGAGUAAUAGCCCACCAAGCCCACGAUGGGUAGCUGGUCUGA